GUGGGGAAUAUUGGACAAUGGGCGAAAGCCUGAUCCAGCCAUGCCGCGUGUGUGAAGAAGGUCUUCGGAUUGUAAAGCACUUUAAGUUGGGAGGAAGGGCAGUAAGUUAAUACCUUGCUGUUUUGACGUUACCGACAGUAUAAGCACCGGCUAACUUCGUGCCAGCAGCCGCGGUAAUACGAAGGGUGCAAGCGUUAAUCGGAAUUACUGGGCGUAAAGCGCGCGUAGGUGGUUUUGUAAGUUGGAGGUGAAAUCCCCGGGCUCAACCUGGGAACUGCCUCCAAAACUGCAUGACUAGAGUACGGUAGAGGGUAGUGGAAUUUCCUGUGUAGCGGUGAAAUGCGUAGAUAUAGGAAGGAACACCAGUGGCGAAGGCGACUACCUGGACUGAUACUGACACUGAGGUGCGAAAGCGUGGGGAGCAAACAGGAUUAGAAACCCUAGUAGUCC
rnacentral:rRNA from 1 species